rnacentral:rRNA from 1 species
GAGUUUGAUCCUGGCUCAGAUCAAUCGCUGGCGGCAGGCUUAACACAUGCAAGUCGAGCGGGGACUUCGGUCCUAGCGGCGAACGGGUGAGGAAUGCUUGGGAAUCUGCCUAGUAGUGGGGGAUAACGUUUCGAAAGGAACGCUAAUACCGCAUACGUCCUACGGGAGAAAGGGGGGGAUCUUCGGACCUCUCGCUAUUAGAUGAGCCCAAGUCGGAUUAGCUAGUUGGUGGGGUAAAAGCUCACCAAGGCGACGAUCCGUAGCUGGUCUGAGAGGAUGAUCAGCCACACUGGAACUGAGACACGGUCCAGACUCCUACGGGAGGCAGCAGUGGGGAAUAUUGGACAAUGGGCGAAAGCCUGAUCCAGCCAUGCCGCGUGUGUGAAGAAGGCCUUCGGGUUGUAAAGCACUUUAAGCGAGGAGGAAUGGCUCUGGGUUAAUACCCUUGAGCAGUGACGUUACUCGCAGAAUAAGCACCGGCUAACUCUGUGCCAGCAGCCGCGGUAAUACAGAGGGUGCAAGCGUUAAUCGGAAUUACUGGGCGUAAAGCGCGCGUAGGCGGUUGUAUAAGUUGGAUGUGAAAUCCCGGGGCUCAACCUGGGAAUUGCAUUCAAGACUGUACGGCUAGAGUGUGGGAGAGGAAGGUAGAAUUCCAGGUGUAGCGGUGAAAUGCGUAGAUAUCUGGAGGAAUACCGAUGGCGAAGGCAGCCUUCUGGCCUAACACUGACGCUGAGGUGCGAAAGCAUGGGGAGCAAACAGGAUUAGAUACCCUGGUAGUCCACGCCGUAAACGAUGAUAACUAGCUGUCCGGGUUCACAGAACUUGGGUGGCGCAGCUAACGCAUUAAGUUAUCCGCCUGGGGAGUACGGUCGCAAGAUUAAAACUCAAAGGAAUUGACGGGGGCCUGCACAAGCGGUGGAGCAUGUGGUUUAAUUCGAAGCAACGCGCAGAACCUUACCAGCGUUUGACAUCCUGAUCGCGGAUAGUGGAGACACUUUCCUUCAGUUCGGCUGGAUCAGUGACAGGUGCUGCAUGGCUGUCGUCAGCUCGUGUCGUGAGAUGUUGGGUUAAGUCCCGCAACGAGCGCAACCCUCGUCCUUAGUUGCCAUCAUUAAGUUGGGCACUCUAAGGAAACUGCCGGUGAUAAGCCGGAGGAAGGUGGGGAUGACGUCAAGUCCUCAUGGCCCUUACACGCUGGGCUACACACGUGCUACAAUGGCGGUGACAGUGGGCAGCAACCCUGCGAGGGGUAGCUAAUCUCCAAAAACCGUCUCAGUUCGGAUUGUUCUCUGCAACUCGAGAGCAUGAAGGCGGAAUCGCUAGUAAUCGCGGAUCAGCAUGCCGCGGUGAAUACGUUCCCAGGCCUUGUACACACCGCCCGUCACACCAUGGGAGUUGGGUUCACCCGAAGGCGUUGCGCUAACUCGCAAGAGAGGCAGGCGACCACGGUGGGCUUAGCGACUGGGGUGAAGUCGUAACAAGGUAACC